GGAAAGGAUGCUACUGGCAUCUAGUGGGCGGAGGCCAGGAAGGCUGCUCAGCAUCCUGCAGGGCACCAGACAGCCGCACAACAAAGGUGUACCUUCCUGUCACAUUCCUCCGCCUCCUACUGCAAAAACGCUAACACCUUAAGCAUCAAGUGCCAGGGGGACCAAUCUGAACGCGGAGGAUUGGCUUUUCAUACCCAGGCAGGGCUUGUUUUCAGUUGUUUUUAUUUCUGAAAUGAAAAGCUUUUCCCAAGCUCUUUGAGGAAGUUGAGCUGCUCCGUGAUUUAGCUGACAUGUGACCAGUCCCUGUGGUCUCUGUCUUAGUCACCAUGUUAACAUCAGGGAUGUGACCAGAGCCGCACGCUCCUACAUGCGUACUUCCCAAAGCACUGGCGUGCUUGCUGAUUUCCGAAAGGCAAGAGCCCUGUGUGGGUCCUUCUUCAUCAGGCCACGGGCAGAGACACCCCUCUUAUCCUGCCUGAAUGGAGUCCCAACAAACAUCCCCCGUUGGUCUGAUUUCUUGCUCUCCCGACAAUUCCUUAUGCUUUUCAGGCUCUUAAAAAUAAAAUCUAAAUUCAUUA